UCUGAAAGAUUCUGACACACUCACUAGGGGAGGACUGUUCUGGGCUUCCAAGGAGGCCACAAGCUCUGCUAGAACAUCUUUAGCCAUCCCAAGUUCUAGACCACCAAGUAAUGUACUCUUUGGUAACCAGGUCUUUUCUGUUUUUGCCUACUCCACCUCCUGGGUCAGCAGGGGCUGUGCAGAGACCCCUCAGCUCUUUGCCAGGUUAGUGGUGACUCUGAGGAGCAGAGCUUCAGAUACUCUGUGGGUCUGGGCUGUGAAAGGGCAGCAGCAGGGCCAGAUCCAGCCAUCCACACUGCAUGCCCCCCUCCCAUCCGCUCUAGCUUCAGGGUUCGAGGAUCACACGCUGUCUCUGUUCUUCUGCAGGUACAAAGAGCAGGACUCAGAUCAGCAAGCGCUGUGCCAUCACUUGUCCCAACUCCAACGAUCUCUUUGAGUGGUCAGUGAAAAAUAUUCAGGCCAGGAUCACCAGACGAUGCUGUUCGUGGGAUCACUGCAACAGAGCACCUGACAGCUGGGAGGGGUUCAGAGCCUUACCAGGGAGGCUCCUGCUGCCAAUGGGUCUGGGCCUCUUCUGCAUCCUGUUGUGAGAAACAUUGUCCUGGGAUACCCUUCCCUGACACACACAGCCUCAAACCCCACCUUCAUCCAUUCCAGGACUUACAAGGCAAAGCACAGUCCCUGAGCUAGAAGGGAGGACACCAUACCCUUUGCUUAGGACCCAGGAGCCUGCUCCUACCUAACAUCCUGGCCCACAAAGAAUAAAACCCUUCUGCUCCUCAUGGAGAUGGACAAGGAAUUUUUCCAAAGCAGGCCACAGGCUUCUUCAAGAAAGCCCUGGACCUUUAGCACACGGUCAAGCACUAUGAGAGGCAGAUGGACCUGAAGAAGCCAGAGGUGCAGGAUACUCUGACACUGCUCUACCUGUGUCCCCUGUUCAUGCACGGGAACUAGGACAUCUCACUCCUCAGAGACAGUAAACUGCUGCUUCCCCACA
rnacentral:lncRNA from 1 species